rnacentral:rRNA from 1 species
GUGAACGCUGGCGGUAGGCCUAACACAUGCAAGUCGAACGGCAGCACAGUAAGAGCUUGCUCUUACGGGUGGCGAGUGGCGGACGGGUGAGGAAUACAUCGGAAUCUACUUUUUCGUGGGGGAUAACGUAGGGAAACUUACGCUAAUACCGCAUACGACCUACGGGUGAAAGCAGGGGAUCUUCGGACCUUGCGCGAUUGAAUGAGCCGAUGUCGGAUUAGCUAGUUGGGGGGGUAAAGGCCCACCAAGGCGACGAUCCGUAGCUGGUCUGAGAGGAUGAUCAGCCACACUGGAACGGAGACACGGUCCAGACUCCUACGGGAGGCAGCAGUGGGGAAUAUUGGACAAUGGGCGCAAGCCUGAUCCAGCCAUACCGCGUGGGUGAAGAAGGCCUUCGGGUUGUAAAGCCCUUUUGUUGGGAAAGAAAAGCAGCAGGUUAAUACCCCGCUGUUCUGACGGUACCCAAAGAAUAAGCACCGGCUAACUUCGUG